GCAUAUCAAUAAGCGGAGGAAAAGAAACUAACAAGGAUUCCCCUAGUAGCGGCGAGCGAAGCGGGAAAAGCUCAAAUUUGUAAUCUGGCGUCUUCGACGUCCGAGUUGUAAUCUCGAGAAGUGUUUUCCGUGAUAGACCGCAUACAAGUCUCUUGGAACAGAGCGUCAUAGUGGUGAGAACCCAGUACACGAUGCGGAUGCCUAUUACUUUGUGAUACACUUUCGAAGAGUCGAGUUGUUUGGGAAUGCAGCUCAAAUUGGGUGGUAAAUUCCAUCUAAAGCUAAAUAUUGGCGAGAGACCGAUAGCGAACAAGUACCGUGAGGGAAAGAUGAAAAGCACUUUGGAAAGAGAGUUAACAGUACGUGAAAUUGUUGGAAGGGAAACACAUGCAGUGAUACUUGCUAUUCGGGGCAACUCGAUUGGCAGGCCCGCAUCAGUUUUUCGGGGCGGAAAAUCGUAGAGAGAAGGUAGCAGUUUCGGCUGUGUUAUAGCUCUUUACUGGAUUCGCCCUGGGGGACUGAGGAACGCAGCGUGCUUUUAGCAUGAGCUUCGGCUUAUCCACGCUUAGGAUGCGGGUUUAUGGCUGUAUAUGACCCGUCUUGAAACACGGACCAAGGAGUCUAACAUGCUUGCGAGUAUUUGGGUGUCAAACCCGGAUGCGCAAUGAAAGUGAAUGGAGGUGGGAAGCGCAAGCUGCACCAUCGACCGAUCUGGAUUUUUUAAGAUGGAUUUGAGUAAGAGCAAGUAUGUUGGGACCCGAAAGAUGGUGAACUAUGCCUGAAUAGGGCGAAGCCAGAGGAAACUCUGGUGGAGGCUCGUAGCGGUUCUGACGUGCAAAUCGAUCGUCAAAUUUGGGUAUAGGGGCGAAAGACUAAUCGAACCAUCUAGUAGCUGGUUCCUGCCGAAGUU
rnacentral:rRNA from 1 species